UGAAACAGGCUGCUAAGGAGUAGUAAAAAGUUUUUCUUUUCAGAGAGUACAUGGUAGGUGUAAAUGUAUAAGGAGGCUUUUGAACUUGCCUUAAAAUGUAGUUUUAAAAGCACAUACGGCGACGGCCGUUAAAACGUUUGAGGCUGAAUAAUUUUCAGUAAAAAUAGGUGGUACCACGUUUAACGCGUCCUAUAA
rnacentral:ncRNA from 1 species